UACAGAGGUCUCAACCGUUGUUCGGAUUUAUUGGGCGUAAAGGGUGCGUAGGCGGUCGUGCAAGUCGGAUGUGAAAUCUCAGGGCUCAACCCUGAAACUGCAUUCGAUACUGCGUGGCUAGAGUGCUGGAGAGGAGACUGGAAUUUACGGUGUAGCAGUGAAAUGCGUAGAUAUCGUAAGGAAGACCAGUGGCGAAGGCGAGUCUCUGGACAGCAACUGACGCUGAGGCACGAAGGCCAGGGGAGCAAACGGG
rnacentral:rRNA from 1 species